GUUGUAUGGUUAAGUGACUAAGCGUACACGGUGGAUGCCUUGGCAGUCAGAGGCGAUGAAAGACGUAGUAACUUGCGAUAAGCCCAGAUUAGGUAGUAACAACCAUUUGAGUCUGGGAUUUCUGAAUGGGGAAACCCACGUGCAUAAGCACGUAUCCUUACCUGAAUACAUAGGGUAAGGAGGCGAACCGGGGGAACUGAAACAUCUAAGUACCCCGAGGAAAAGAAAUCAACCGAGAUUCCGAAAGUAGCGGCGAGCGAAAUUGGACUAGCCCUUAAGCUUUACACGCGUUAGACGAACGGUCUGGAAAGUCCGACGAUACAGGGUGAUAGUCCCGUAGUUGACGACGUGUGUUCAGUGAAAUCGAGUAGGGCGGGACACGUGAUAUCCUGUCUGAAUAUGGGGGGACCAUCCUCCAAGGCUAAAUACUACUGACUGACCGAUAGUGAACCAGUACCGUGAGGGAAAGGCGAAAAGAACCCCUGUGAGGGGAGUGAAAUAGAACCUGAAACCGUGUACGUACAAGCAGUAGGAGCAGGCUUGUCCUGUGACUGCGUACCUUUUGUAUAAUGGGUCAGCGACUUAUAUUCAGUGGCAAGGUUAACCAUCUAGGGGAGCCGUAGGGAAACCGAGUCUUAACUGGGCGUUCAGUCUCUGGAUAUAGACCCGAAACCAGGUGAUCUAGCCAUGGGCAGGUUGAAGGUUGAGUAACAUCAACUGGAGGACCGAACCGACUAAUGUUGAAAAAUUAGCGGAUGACUUGUGGCUAGGGGUGAAAGGCCAAUCAAACCUGGAGAUAGCUGGUUCUCCCCGAAAGCUAUUUAGGUAGCGCCUCGGACGAAUACUACUGGGGGUAGAGCACUGUUAAGGCUAGGGGGUCAUCCCGACUUACCAACCCUUUGCAAACUCCGAAUACCAGUAAGUACUAUCCGGGAGACACACGGCGGGUGCUAACGUCCGUCGUGGAGAGGGAAACAACCCAGACCGCCAGCUAAGGUCCCAAAUUACUACUAAGUGGGAAACGAUGUGGGAAGGCUCAGACAGCCAGGAUGUUGGCUUAGAAGCAGCCAUCAUUUAAAGAAAGCGUAAUAGCUCACUGGUCGAGUCGGCCUGCGCGGAAGAUGUAACGGGGCUAAGUAGUAAACCGAAGCUGCGGCAAUGUGCUUUUGCACAUUGGGUAGGGGAGCGUUCUGUAAGCGGUUGAAGGUGUGUGGUAACGCAUGCUGGACGUAUCAGAAGUGCGAAUGCUGACAUGAGUAACGAUAAAGGGGGUGAAAAACCUCCUCGCCGGAAGACCAAGGGUUCCUGUCCAACGUUAAUCGGGGCAGGGUAAGUCGACCCCUAAGGCGAGGCCGAAAGGCGUAGUCGAUGGGAAACGGGUUAAUAUUCCCGUACUUCUUACAAUUGCGAUGGGGGGACGGAGAAGGCUAGGUGGGCCUGGCGACGGUUGUCCAGGUUCAAGUGCGUAGGCUUAAGAGUUAGGUAAAUCCGGCUCUUUUUAAGGCUGAGACACGACGUCGAGCUACUACGGUAGUGAAGUCAUUGAUGCCAUGCUUCCAGGAAAAGCCUCUAAGCUUCAGAUUGUAAGGAAUCGUACCCCAAACCGACACAGGUGGUCGGGUAGAGAAUACCAAGGCGCUUGAGAGAACUCGGGUGAAGGAACUAGGCAAAAUGGUACCGUAACUUCGGGAGAAGGUACGCUCUCGACGGUGAAGUCCCUCGCGGAUGGAGCUAUUGAGAGUCGCAGAUACCAGGUGGCUGCAACUGUUUAUUAAAAACACAGCACUGUGCAAAAUCGUAAGAUGACGUAUACGGUGUGACGCCUGCCCGGUGCCGGAAGGUUAAUUGAUGGGGUUAGACUUCGGUCGAAGCUCUUGAUCGAAGCCCCGGUAAACGGCGGCCGUAACUAUAACGGUCCUAAGGUAGCGAAAUUCCUUGUCGGGUAAGUUCCGACCUGCACGAAUGGCGUAAUGAUGGCCACGCUGUCUCCACCCGAGACUCAGUGAAAUUGAAAUCGCUGUGAAGAUGCAGUGUACCCGCGGCUAGACGGAAAGACCCCGUGAACCUUUACUACAGCUUGGCACUGAACAUUGACCCUACAUGUGUAGGAUAGGUGGGAGGCUUUGAAGCACGUACGCCAGUAUGUGUGGAGCCGUCCUUGAAAUACCACCCUUGUAGUGUUGAUGUUCUAACGUCGACCCCUUAUCGGGGUUGCGGACAGUGCCUGGUGGGUAGUUUGACUGGGGCGGUCUCCUCCCAAAGAGUAACGGAGGAGCACGAAGGUGGGCUAAUCACGGUUGGACAUCGUGAGGUUAGUGCAAUGGCAUAAGCCCGCUUGACUGCGAGAAUGACAAUUCGAGCAGGUGCGAAAGCAGGUCAUAGUGAUCCGGUGGUUCUGAAUGGAAGGGCCAUCGCUCAACGGAUAAAAGGUACUCCGGGGAUAACAGGCUGAUACCGCCCAAGAGUUCAUAUCGACGGCGGUGUUUGGCACCUCGAUGUCGGCUCAUCACAUCCUGGGGCUGAAGUCGGUCCCAAGGGUAUGGCUGUUCGCCAUUUAAAGUGGUACGCGAGCUGGGUUUAGAACGUCGUGAGACAGUUCGGUCCCUAUCUGCCGUGGGCGUUGGAAGAUUGAAGGGGGCUGCUCCUAGUACGAGAGGACCGGAGUGGACGAACCUCUGGUGUUCGGGUUGUGUCGCCAGACGCAUUGCCCGGUAGCUAAGUUCGGAAUCGAUAACCGCUGAAAGCAUCUAAGCGGGAAGCGAGCCCUGAGAUGAGUCUUCCCUGAUACUUUAAGUAUCCUAAAGGGUUGUCGGAGACUACGACGUUGAUAGGUCAGGUGUGUAAGUGCUGUGAGGCAUUGAGCUAACUGAUACUAAUUGCCCGUGAGGCUUAACCAUACAACACCCAAGGGGUUU
rnacentral:rRNA from 1 species